CGCUGGCGGCAUGCCUAACACAUGCAAGUCGAACGAGACCUUCGGGUCUAGUGGCGCGCGGGUGCGUAACGCGUGGGAACCUGCCUUUAGGUUCGGAAUAACUCAGAGAAAUUUGAGCUAAUACCGGAUAAUGUCUUCGGACCAAAGAUUUAUCGCCUUUAGAUGGGCCCGCGUUGGAUUAGCUAGUUGGUGGGUAAAGGCCUACCAAGGCGACGAUCCAUAGCUGGUCUGAGAGGAUGAUCAGCCACACUGGGACUGAGACACGGCCCAGACUCCUACGGGAGGCAGCAGUGGGGAAUAUUGGACAAUGGGCGAAAGCCUGAUCCAGCAAUGCCGCGUGAGUGAUGAAGGCCUUAGGGUUGUAAAGCUCUUUUACCCGAGAUGAUAAUGACAGUAUCGGGAGAAUAAGCUCCGGCUAACUCCGUG
rnacentral:rRNA from 1 species